UACGUAGGGUGCGAGCGUUAAUCGGAAUUACUGGGCGUAAAGCGUGCGCAGGCGGUUCGUUGUGUCUGAUGUGAAAGCCCCGGGCUCAACCUGGGAAUGGCAUUGGAAACUGGCGAGCUAGAGUGUGGCAGAGGGGGGUGGAAUUCCGCGUGUAGCAGUGAAAUGCGUAGAGAUGCGGAGGAACACCGAUGGCGAAGGCAGCCCCCUGGGCUGACACUGACGCUGAGGCGCGAAAGCGUGGGGAGCGAACAGG
rnacentral:rRNA from 1 species